rnacentral:lncRNA from 1 species
AUGUAUAAAAAUAUUAAUUUUAUGGCUAAAUUAUGAAAAAUUUCCUUAAUAAAAUUCGUUUUUCAUUUUUCUCUUUUGUCAUAUAAAAAUCUAUAUUUUACCUCCUUAAAAAAUAAAAAAUAUUCAUAGAGGAUACGGUGUUAAUUGUAUUGACAAAAUAAUCAAAAUAAUCUCUCCUCCCCAAUCCUCCUUUAUCUGUAGUUUCCCUAUUUUCGUCCUUCAUACCUCCCUUGACCCCACCUCAGCCUCCCCCGCCACCUUGCCCUUGCUCUCCUUCAUUCGGCGACGGUGGAAAGAAAUCGGGGUGGGCGCAGAUAGCUAGAGGGUGGACGAGGGUGAGACGGCGAAGGAGACAAGGGCAUGGGUGUGGACACGAACGGAGGGAUGGGGACGUUGUCGGUGAGGCGACGGAGGCGGCGUUGGUGAGAAAGGACAGAAAGGUACUUUAGAUAUAAAAAAUAUAUAAUAAUAGAAUAGAGUCAGAACCCUAAAAGAACAUUGACAGUAUAUAGGGUACGAAGUGAACAUUUUUUAUUUUUUAAGGAGCAAAUUGUAGCUUUUUAAAUGACAGAAAAAAAAAAGUGAAAAAACAAAUUUUGUCAGAAAAAUUAUCUGUAAUUUAGCCUAAUAUUAUAUAUAUAAGCGAAUUAUGUUUCCUAAAAUCCCCCUUUAA